rfam:Picea glauca, whole genome shotgun sequence.
ACAUGCCUACAACAUAGUGUUAAUGCAUUGGAUUCCAUUAGAAAUCCAUAGUUAACUACGCUCAGGCUAGAGUAGUACUAGGAUGGGUGAUUGCCUAGGAAGUCCUAGUGUUUUACAUGCA